rnacentral:rRNA from 1 species
ACCCAAUUUUGGGGGGAUAAGGGGAAGGGGUGAUAAACAGGGGUAACCCGCCUUAAUUUGGGAUAGGGGGGGGAACGGGUUUAAAACGGGAAAGGAGGCUCCCCCGCCUGGGGGGGUAGAAAAAAUUUUUGGGUUGGGGAGGGCCCCGGGCCUUUUAAGUUGGUGGGGAGGUAAGGCUCCACCGGGGGGAGGGGGGGGUAGCCGGCUUGAGAGGGUGACCGGCCCCCGGGGGGAAUGAGCCCCGGCCCAAAAUUCCUAGGGGAGGCAGCAGUGGGGAAUUUUGCCCAAUGGGCGCAAGCUUGAUGCAGCGACGCCGCUUGAAGGAUGACGGCCUUCGGGUUGUAAACCUCUUUCAGUAGGGAAGAAGCGAAAGUGACGGUACCUGCAGAAGAAGCACGGGCUAACUACGUGCCAGCAGCCGCGGUAAUACGUAGGGUGCGAGCGUUAUCCGGAAUUAUUGGGCGUAAAGAGCUCGUAGGCGGUUUGUCGCGUCUGUCGUGAAAGUCCGGGGCUUAACCCCGGAUUUGCGGUGGGUACGGGCAGACUAGAGUGCAGUAGGGGAGACUGGAAUUCCUGGUGUAGCGGUGGAAUGCGCAGAUAUCAGGAGGAACACCGAUGGCGAAGGCAGGUCUCUGGGCUGUAACUGACGCUGAGGAGCGAAAGCAUGGGGAGCGAACAGGAUUAGAUACCCUGGUAGUCCAUGCCGUAAACGUUGGGCACUAGGUGUGGGGACCAUUCCACGGUUUCCGCGCCGCAGCUAACGCAUUAAGUGCCCCGCCUGGGGAGUACGGCCGCAAGGCUAAAACUCAAAGGAAUUGACGGGGGCCCGCACAAGCGGCGGAGCAUGCGGAUUAAUUCGAUGCAACGCGAAGAACCUUACCAAGGCUUGACAUGUUCUCGAUCGCCGUAGAGAUACGGUUUCCCCUUUGGGGCGGGUUCACAGGUGGUGCAUGGUUGUCGUCAGCUCGUGUCGUGAGAUGUUGGGUUAAGUCCCGCAACG